rnacentral:rRNA from 1 species
AUACGGAGGGUGCAAGCGUUGUUCGGAAUUAUUGGGCGUAAAGCGCGUGUAGGCGGUCUUUUAAGUCUGAUGUGAAAGCCCCGGGCGUCAACCUCGGGAAGUGCAUUGGAAACUGGGAGACUUGAGUACGGGAGAGGAGAGUGGAAUUCCUAGUGUAGGAGUGAAAUCCGUAGAUAUUAGGAGGAACACCGGUGGCGAAGGCGGCUCUCUGGACCGAUACUGACGCUGAGACGCGAAAGCGUGGGUAGC